GGGACAGGUGCGCCCUGGUACCCCCUCUCACGUGCCUGGCGCGUUAUGAGCUGACGAGAAUCCUUGUUUUUCACUAUUCUGCCCUGUGUUUUACCCUUACUAGUACACUCUAAAAAUGACGAAUUUAACGAUCUAACCAGUUUAUUUCUAGCCCAGUGUAUGUGACGUGUUUCUGUUCGCUGUCAACACUGGAGCAAUUUUCAAGACUGAUCUGAUUUUUAUUACUGUGUCGUAUACACCUGUCACCCGUCAGAAUAUAUUAACAUUAUUGCUGAGUAUAGAAAAAGAAUUAUGUACACCCGAUCAAAGCAUUCCGUCAAAAGCAGUUUAAAUCGUCCAUUUGUAAUUUUACGUAUGUAGCCUAAUUGUUUCUCUGAACAUGUUAUUUUUUCUCUGAAUGUUAUCUGUUUGAACACAUUGCGAAAAUAUUUGCUAAAUAUUAAUUUGUAAUGUAAUUUGCGAUUUUCAUACGUUAUUUACUAGCGUCAGUGUGCGGAACACGGAAAUCAAAGUUAACUAAAUUUUACAACUGAAAUUACAGUACAUACAAAUAAUCGAAGCACGGAAGAAACCCGUGUGAAAACCAUUUGAACGCAUUCCAAAGGGAAAGGGUAAAACUUGUAGAUGUCUUCUGUUUAGGUGGUGCUGUGUGAACUUAAAAGCGUUUUGAGAUCGACUGCAAUGUCUAGCAGGAACAACGUUUUCAUCUCUACUUCCCCAUUCCUUUGUGCAUGCUUACCUGAAAGGUGUCAUAAGCGGAGGUCGAGGCAUCUCAGGAAGAUCUGACGGCUGAUUUGAGCCCAGCUUACUGUGGAGAGGUAUAAGCUGGGUCCUCCUCUCAGUCAUGUGCUGCAGCAGCUGCUGGAGGUUUUCAUGCACCUUGUUC